rnacentral:rRNA from 1 species
UACGUAGGUGGCUAGCGUUGUCCGGAUUUACUGGGCGUAAAGAGCGCGCAGGCGGUCGUUCAAGUCGAGUGUGAAAGCCCCCGGCUCAACUGGGGAGGGUCACUCGAUACUGAUCGACUUGAAGGCGGGAGAGGGAAGCGGAAUUCCCGGUGUAGUGGUGAAAUGCGUAGAUAUCGGGAGGAACACCAGUGGCGAAGGCGGCUUUCUGGCCUGUUCUUGACGCUGAGGCGCGAAAGCUAGGGGAGCGAACGGG